GCCAUGGGCCUAUCCUUUGUACUCUGCUGAGCAGAGAGGAUGAGGAGAUGUGUUCUAAGACAAGGAUCCCAGGAGCUGGCUGCCAGUGCAACAACACAACACUUUUCCACUGCAACUGCUCCUGCUUACCUGGUAACUUGAAGUAAAUAGAAAUGCUGAAAGAGAGGACCUAAGGAGUGCAGGGUCUCCCCAUCAGUCACACAAGGGGAAGGAAGCUCUUCUGGAGAUGUGGUGAUGGAAACCGAGGUAUGAAGCUCCAAUAAUUAUCCCGGAUUCCUGAGCCCUCUGUCCUUCAGCGGGGCCAAUAAUGAAGACAGAGGAGAGAGGCCGGGAUGUGCCUGCCUGCCUGGAAUGCAGCCGGAGCUGAAAGCUGACACCAGCUCGGUGGAAAAGGACUAGCGAGCAAAGGCUGUCUCCAAGACAACAGAGUAUUUUCCCUGUGAUGCAUUUACACAGCGGGGUUAAAGUUCUGUGAA